rnacentral:rRNA from 1 species
UACAGGGGGUGCAAACGUUGCUCGGAAUCAUUGGGCGUAAAGCGCACGUAGGCGGUUCGUUAUGUCGGAUGUGAAAGCCCUUGGCUUAACCGAGGAAGUGCAUCCGAAACUGGCGAGCUAGAGUACGAAAGAGGAUCGCGGAAUUCCCGGUGUAGAGGUGAAAUUCGUAGAUAUCAGGAGGAACACCGGUGGCGAAGGCGGGUCUCUGGGCCGAUACUAACGCUGAGGAGCGAAAGCGUGGGGAGCGAACAGG